UUUUACACCUUUUAAGCUGGUAGUGCCCGAAGUCAUUACUCCAACCUUUCGGGGAGGAGGAUGCCUAAGGCAGGACUGGUGACUGGGGUGAAGUCGUAACAAGGUAGCCGUACCGGAAGGUGUGGCUGGAUCACCUCCUUUUUAGGGAGACCUACACCCCUCAGAAAUCGAAAAACACAAAGUUGUAUAGAUACUGAGUUGGUCUAACCUAGGUCGGUCGAGAUUGGGAUAUAGCUUUCAAAGUAUUACUGGUUCGGUAAAUUGAAGAACUUUAAAAAAUAGUGAGAAAUCAGCAACAUGACUUAAUAGUCAGACUGCUGAGUAGAGUCUCAGCCAGAACCUUGAAAACUGCAUAGUAACGCGAAAAAAGCAGGCAGACACAGACAUUCAAAAAGAAUAUUUUGUGAAUGCAGUAUUUUAAGACCAAAUGUAACAGUGGUAAGCUAAGGGGGUAAAGGUUUAAAAGGU
rnacentral:misc_RNA from 1 species